UACGUAGGGUGCAAGCGUUGUCCGGAAUUAUUGGGCGUAAAGAGCUCGUAGGCGGCUUGUCGCGUCGGCUGUGAAAACCUGGGGCUCAACCCCGGGCCUGCAGCCGAUACGGGCAAGCUAGAAUUCGGUAGGGGAGACUGGAAUUCCUGGUGUAGCGGUGAAAUGACGCAGAUAUCAGGAAGAACACCCGUGGCGAAGGCGGCUCUCUGGGACGGUACUGACGCUGAGACGCGAAAGCGUGGGGAGCGAACAGG
rnacentral:rRNA from 1 species